rnacentral:lncRNA from 1 species
AAAGUAUGAGACAAAGGCAUCUAUCUUCAAUGAGUUAUUGUUUUGUCUAGUGUACAUAUCUGCUGGACAACCAGCCAGAGCACAAGAGAUGGUGUAUUGGACUUUGCGGAAUGGCAAGUAUAAGACUCGCGAAUUGUAUUUGAUGUUUGGAAGGCUGAUGAUUUACAGCAGAUACGAUAAGACUCGUAAUAUGAAGUUUGCUGAAAAGCCAAUCCCCAGGUUUCUUUCUGAGCUGCUUUCCAUUUUAGCACUUCGGUACUAUGUUUUGGUUCGACCAUUAGAAGCAUUGAUGAAGUAUGUGACAACCGCUGAUAGGUCGAAAGUAGCUGCAUGCACACUUGGAUUUCAUGUUUGUGAUUGUUGGCGAACGAUUGCAAAGAGAUUUACCGUAUCGAAUUUUUUCAAAGGCCAUCUACCAAUGCAUUCAGAAACCGUUGGGAUUUCAAAACUACAGACACAUUGCUCACUACUUUAAAGAAAAAGAACAUCGAGGAAGAAAUGACGAGGGAAUCAUAUUUCGAUUUACAGGCUGAACAUACACGAAACACAGCGCUCUACAUCUAUGGACGCACUAUGGACAACUUGCAUUAUCUGCCAUCGGAUUAUUUCGUCAACUUUUUUCGUGCAAGCUAUAAGUGGCAGGAACUAUUGCAGAUUCGAGACAACCCGACCCAUGGAUUGUUGGUAGAAACAAAGCACCCAUUCAUCAAGCGAGUUGAUCAAUUGGAGAACGCAAAUGGAAAGACACGAAUCAUGAUCGCUUAGCAAGGGAUUUGGACUCGGUAUCAACUAUAUGGGAGUGCGUUUAGUAGUACACUAUAGAUUGCCAGCUUCAUCUAUGGAUUAUGUAUACAGGAGACAGGCCGAGCUGGAAGAGAUGGCAAGUAUGCGAUUGCAGCAUUGUUUUACGAGAAAUAUGACUCUACAUGGUCAAGCUACGUGAAGGAUUUGAUGAAAAACUUUCUUAAUGAUAACACGAUGUGUGUGUGUUCGAUCGUUUCUCACAAAUGAAAUGGAUUGCGAAUGUGUAUGUUGUGCAUCGUUUGCUAACUGUAUUUACUGCUCAAGAUGUUCAGAUUCGUUACUUGGUGAAUUGUAACCGUGUCUACGAUGUAUGGAGUGAAACCGACAAUGCCAGAAAUACCGAAACCAGCCAUUGCAACACAUUCGGGUUAUAAAGCAUCUUUUUCGUCUUCGUCCCCACUACAGCCAGGGAGUAGCAGUGAUAUGAACACUAACCGUAACACUAACACUGCUAUUAGUACUAGUGCUACGCCAGUGUCUGGUAAAACUUAACUACACAUUACGCUGAGAGGUAAAAUACUCUGACAACAUUCGUUCGAUUGUAUAAAACAAAAUCCAGCCGAAACGAUUGUUGUCAGUAAUCAAGAUUACGAUCUAAAUUGAGUACCAAGACAAAACGAAAUGGUUAAAAAGUUAAAGUCGUUUUUGUAUGGACACAAUUUCUAUAAAAUAGACAUGAGUAAAAUCUCGCUAUUUGUUUGUUAUUGUGGAAUAAUGAAGAGUCAUGGGAGAUGAAUGUUGUAAACGAUGGCAUAGAAUUGGUAACGAAAAGUGAAAUCAUUGGGAUCAACUAUUUCAGUAUUUUGUUUAAAGAAAAUGUUGAACUCGACAAGUAAUGAGAGGUGGUGCUUUCGUUAAAUAAUGAGUGGUGGUUACGGUUAUACAGGAUAUGAUCUGUGUAUGGUGAGAAUGUGAUGUAUGUAUUUGAGUAUAGA